UUUACUUGUAGGAGAGGCCAGGCUGUGGCAGCCGCGGUCGUGGCGUCAUGCACGUGGCAUCGACGCAGGUGAGAAUACAUCUAUGGUAGUCUCGUGGGCCGAGCGUCAAGGUGAUGGUAGCCGACCCUCCACGCCCCCUCUAGGGAUGGGAAGUGGCGGGCAGAGUACCUCCCCCGCGCAUGUCAGAGUUGCAAACACUUUCAAUUUCAACUGUGUGGUGAUCAGGACAUUCUGUGUUGCUUGGACAACCGAGCUAAGACGGCGAUGCCACCACCUACUUGUAUCUGUACAGGACCUCCGAUGAUUAUUUCUGUGAGUGCCUAAAUAUAUAUCCUCUGCUCUUCAAAUGGUAGUGUUUGAGGUUUUCAUUUCUCCCCCUUCCAGUUCUGCCGAGCACCUUCAAUUCCCCUUUCCCCAGCUCGAAGGAAUUGGCGCCUCCGUUAGUGACCCCGAGUAGUGAUGCAAUGAUUUUCCAAAAAUGAAGAAGCUUGUCGUUCAACCGAUGACAAAACACCUAGAGUACGUGCAAAAAUUACUACUUCCUCAUUUACAGCAAACUCAUUGAUACGACAAAGGCAAAAUUUUGGGUGGCAAGGUAUAUGAUUAGAUCAUGUGUAAUCUUCUACAUGCAUUUUUCUAUUCUUCCAUUGUGUUCUUUAGACAUGCCUCUUUUUGUUAUUUUACAUCAGUUAACUGAAGUUCAUAUUAUUCCUUUAUCUGAUUGUAGCUUCAAAGUUUGAUUACAGCAGAGUCAUUGAUACAACAUACACAGUUUGUGAAUUUACCUACUACUACGAGUUACGUCAUAUAGCAAUGUUUUCUUGCCUAGAAAAAUAUUACAUGAAAGGCCUAAUGUCUUGUGAAUGUGUAUAGUAGCUACAAGUAGGUGGUCAAACUGUACACCUUUAAAGCAUGAAUAAGGUGCUAGCUUAUGUGCUGCAGUUGCUUUGCAUUGUUCAGAUGCAAUGUGUUUUCGCUCAGCGGGAGCACUUCUUCUGAUUAUUUAUAAUUUUUAGUUUGCUUCUUAUAAUUUUAAGACAAUUUUUGCGACUUGGAAUGUAUAGCAUCCCCCUUUUCUCACUGGAAAUGACAUGUAAGAACAAACCAGUUCCAGUUCUGGCAUAGUUCUGAUGGUUGAAGUGUAUGUCUAUAUGAUUUAGUAUAUGCAUGGGAGUACCCGCUAAACGAUGAAGCAUAUUGUGUCGUGUUAGCUCCAUCUAGCUUUAUUAUCUUGAAUUCUGUAUCUAGAUUUUGUAUGUUGUAUUCCCUUUCACCGCGUCUACAUAAUUGAUGAAGCUUUUUUCUGAUUGCAAAGUAUGUGCAAGUCAGUAGUGAACACUCUAUAUCGUUGUUCCAGAAAAGCAAGAUUCAGCAAUUUCCGCAACAUUUCAUGUCCGUUCCAUGUAGUAGUUUUUGCGGAAUUAUAUUGAUGAUUUCCUUUUACCUUCAUAUUUGCUUAGUUUUCUUAGCAAACACAAAAAGCUUUGCGUCUUGAAGCAUUGAUAGAAGCGAACAUAAUUCAUGAUACAAGCCUAAUACUCUGAAAAUAUUUUUACGGUUCACUAUUCCUAUGAGGGGAGUGAGUGGAGACAGCCAUGAGUGGCUCAACAUGUCGAGCAGCGGCCGCCUAUGAGGGGAGUGAGUGGAGACGCGCAAAUAUGUGUGGUGGAGGGGCAACGGAAGCUUGAACGGAAGAUUCGUCGCCAACAUCGAAGAAAUCUAUGGCCUGAUCGACCCUAAAGCUCCUGCAUGGACACGAAGGUGACCGGGGGCAGAUUGCCGACAUUUGCCACACUAUGGGCAAUCUAUGUUAUGAUCUGCUCUCCGCAAUCGAAGCCAGGAAUGAGCGGCAAGAUGUCUUCGGGAAUGGCUGAUGAGGAAGAAUUGACUGCGGGGGAAUGGUGGAUCUAGGUGGAGUUCGCUUUAGCCAGUGAGGGACGAGCUUUAGUUGUGUAGGGGAAGGGAAGCCACAUGCAUGAGUCAGACAUAAUAAAUCGACUCGAAAAUGACUCUGUUAGUCCAGAAUCUCGUCUUGGACGACCCAUAUGGUGGUCUGACAUUCGAUCCGGUGUGAAAGUGCCUCACAUAGUCAUGUUUCAUGGACUUCAGAUGUGGGCCAUAUUCACUGUUCAAAAGAAGCAUACAUAGAUUAUUAGUGGCCUAUGCGUGUUGGGCUGUAAAUCCCGGGGCAACUUGAUGGGAGGGAUAACGAGCACACAUGUGCUCCAACACAUAAUAGAGUGCAUAUAACAUGGCUUUCUCACGACUUUAUGCCACUAAUAAGAAGUCCUUUCAUUUUAGAUCAUGAGUUGAUGAAAUUUAUUCCUCAAUAUAUAUGAUAAUUUAGGAUGUAACCAAAUCUCUCAUUUUUGACUUUAAACAAAUCGUACUACAUUCUUAGAUAAAUGUGCUUUGAAUAAACUAUUUUUUAUCAUAGGCAUAUUUAAACAGUUGAUCAAGUCUUCGGUCAGCAUCACAUGUUCAUUCGAUGGAAUGUGACUAUGUCACAAUCUUGGUGCAAAAGUUUGCCUUGAAAACUAAUUGUAUAGACAGAUGUCAC